GCGAUGCGUUCUUGAAGAGGUCGGAAAAUGUGCUGGAUGACACAGAACAGCACAUCUUGACGACAGACAGGCAGGACUACGUAGCUGAGGUUAGCAAGUCUUCGAACGCGAAUUCGUUCACGUAUGAAGAUAUCGCCCCUUUUAUGGAGAAAGCACCCUGCCUGGCUGAAGUCGCAACGAGCUUUCCGAAAAAGGGGCAAUGUAGCAGAGUGAGUUAUAGCGCCGCAAAAACAGGAGUGCUGCACAAUCAGAGGCUGCCGGUUUCACGAAUGUUGCGACGGACUCAGCGUGUGGCGAGGCAGCAGAGGUGUGAGCAACAAGGAGGUCGGCUUGCCCGGGUCUUCUGCCAAAAGCUGGAAAGACCACCUUGGCCAACUGAACCAUUCGGGAAGCCUGUCAUGUGAAAGCCAAGGCAGGACCAAGAAGACAAGGGAAGCACCUAAGCUUAUGGGAAGAGGUCCUGGUCCUGUGGCCAACAGAUGAGGCUGUAGCCCCCCCCGGAGGUGAGGCAUGGUCAGAGGUGUUCUCUGUUGUGGAGUACUCAACAUGUUCAGGUGCUCAGGCAGGACACCAGGUCCAUCAAUGAGAAAACAACUUCAGUUAGAGACCCCAGAAAACCGCAAAGAGAAACGGGCAUGGUCACCUACAUCCUGGCUGUGGUCUGCAGUACCAUACAAUUACUGACCGGACCAUGUUUGCAGAUGAACCGACUUACUUUAGACUCCACAUCAUUAGCAUCCACUUC